GCCCGGCUAGGGAUAUGGGCCUCUCGAGCCCAAGACCCGGGUUCAAAUCCCGGCCGGGGCA
rnacentral:tRNA from 1 species